UUUGCGUUAGGGAGUGAAGUGAAAAUACUUUUUUGAGUUUUUUCGAAAAAAAGAUUGUAACGUAACGCCCGACCCGCC
rnacentral:sRNA from 1 species